GAAUCCGGGAGGAGUGGAUAGAUCCUGACCGAGAGACGGAGCAUCGAAGACGCAGUCCCGUUCGCCACUCAGCACCGCAGACACCAUGAAGACGAGUUCUGUACUUUUGGCGAUUUUUCUGCCGAUCCUCUUGAUCUCGCAGAGUGUCGCCUAUUAUCUUGGUCACAUGUGCGUGCCCGUCGACCCGAUGUAUUGCGCGGCGAGCGGUGGUCGCCUCGUUUGGGAAGGACCCUGCCAGACAUGCCUGUACAAUUCGGAUUGCCCGCCGCUGGCUUGCCGUCCCGAAUGCUACGAAGACUUGAAUGUUCCAUGGGCUCCGUUGGGUGCGUGCCCACAUUGCGUAUGCUGAAAGAGAAGGAUUUGAACAUGGAUGAGGAGAAAACCGAUCGGACAUCAGCGAGCCCCACUUGUGAAUCGAGGCGUAUAAAUAGAAAUAAACUUUGUAAGCA